AUUGAACGCUGGCGGCAUGCCUUACACAUGCAAGUCGAACGGCAGCACGGGUGCUUGCACCUGGUGGCGAGUGGCGAACGGGUGAGUAAUACAUCGGAACGUACCUUAUCGUGGGGGAUAACGCAGCGAAAGCUGUGCUAAUACCGCAUACGCCCUGAGGGGGAAAGCGGGGGAUCGCAAGACCUCGCGCGAUUGGAGCGGCCGAUAUCAGAUUAGGUAGUUGGUGGGGUAAAGGCUCACCAAGCCAACGAUCUGUAGCUGGUCUGAGAGGACGACCAGCCACACUGGGACUGAGACACGGCCCAGACUCCUACGGGAGGCAGCAGUGGGGAAUAUUGCACAAUGGGCGCAAGCCUGAUGCAGCAACGCCGCGUGAGGGAUGAAGGCCUC
rnacentral:rRNA from 1 species